AUGCUUGCUUCGGCAGCACAUAUACUAAACUUGGAACAAUACAGAAAAGAUUAGAAUGGCCCCUGCAUGAGGAUGAAACACAACUUCAUGAAGUGUUCCAUAUAAAA
ensembl:snRNA U6 U6 spliceosomal RNA